rnacentral:rRNA from 1 species
GACGAACGCUGGCGGCGUGCUUAACACAUGCAAGUCGAACGGAAAGGCCUGCUUUCCCUUGUGGAUUGCGGGUACUCGAGUGGCGAACGGGUGAGUAACACGUGAGUGAUCUGCCCCCAACUUGGGUAUAAGCCUGGGAAACUGGGUCUAAUUCCCGAUAGGACUGCAGGGUGGUGCCUGUGGUGGAAAACGAUUUUCUAGUGGUUGGGGAUGAGCUCGCGGCCUAUCAGCUUGUUGGUGGGGUAAUGGCCUACCAAGGCGGCGACGGGUAGCCGGCCUGAGAGGGUGGACGGCCACAUUGGGACUGAGAUACGGCCCAGACUGCUACGGGAGGCAGCAGUGGGGAAUAUUGCACGAUGGGCGGAAGCCUGAUGCAGCGACGCCGCGUGGGGGAUGACGGCCUUCGGGUUGUAAACUCCUUGCGACCGCGAGGAAGCCACCUGGUUGGAAGGGUGGUGACGGUAGUGGUAGAAGAAGCACCGGCUAACUACGUG